AGUGAACGCUGGCGGUAGGCCUAACACAUGCAAGUCGAACGGCAGCACAGGAGAGCUUGCUCUCUGGGUGGCGAGUGGCGGACGGGUGAGGAAUACAUCGGAAUCUACUCUGUCGUGGGGGAUAACGUAGGGAAACUUACGCUAAUACCGCAUACGACCUACGGGUGAAAGCAGGGGAUCUUCGGACCUUGCGCGAUUGAAUGAGCCGAUGGCGGAUUAGCUAGUUGGCGGGGUAAAGGCCCACCAAGGCGACGAUCCGUAGCUGGUCUGAGAGGAUGAUCAGCCACACUGGAACUGAGACACGGUCCAGACGCCGACGGGAGGCAGCAGUGGGGAAUAUUGGACAAUGGGCGCAAGCCUGAUCCAGCCAGACCGCGUGGGUGAAGAAGGCCUUCGGGUUGUAAAGUCCUUUUGUUGGGAAAGAAAUCCAGCUGGCUAAUACCCGGUUGGGAUGACGGUACCCAAAGAAUAAGCACCGGCUAACUUCGUGCCAGCCGCCGCCGUAA
rnacentral:rRNA from 1 species